rnacentral:rRNA from 1 species
UACAGAGGGUGCAAGCGUUGUUCGGAAUUACUGGGUGUAAAGCGUGCGUAGUCGGUAUUGAGAGUCGCGGGUGAAAUCCCAGGGCUUAACCCUGGAACUGCCUGCGAGACCUCAGUACUAGAGUGUGAGAGGGGAUAGUGGAAUACCCAGUGUAGCGGUGAAAUGCGUAGAGAUUGGGUGGAACACCGGUGGCGAAGGCGGCUAUCUGGCUCACAACUGACGAUCAGGCACGAAAGCGUGGGGAGCAAACAGG